rnacentral:pre_miRNA from 1 species
AGAAAAAAAAAUUGUUUGGAGUUAGAACGUUUGCCUACGUUUGCCGUUAGGGGCGCUGUUCCAACUGCAUACAAAUUUGAAUUA